rnacentral:tRNA from 1 species
GGAGGGCUGGCUGAGCGGCCGAAGGCGACGGUCUUGAAAACCGUUGUUGCGCGAGCAACCAAGGGUUCGAAUCCCUUGCCCUCCG